AUUCCAUUCAGGGGCGGGAUAGAUAAUAAUACGGCCCCGGUUUGCACACCGGAAUCCAGGAGAGUUCAUGUAC
rnacentral:sRNA from 1 species